rnacentral:piRNA from 1 species
UUUCAUGUGACCUCAAAUUCG